GUAACUGGCUGAUCUUGAGUUUAUAUUGUAGACAUCAGUCUUGUCAAAAACGGUAGAUGGGUCGAGGUAGAUCAGACAGUUGGUCUGCAUUUGAGGUAGUAGAUUAGAGUGUCAGAAGAAUAGAGCGGUGAACUCUUAGCAGCACAUGACAGAGUUUGAGUUCUGUGACCUGGGAUGUGGGAGGCUUAGAUUAGUAACUGGUGCUGGGCCGAAACUAGGUUGAGGAACACUGGGAUGCUGGGAACCCGAAGUGCUCACGGAGCUCGGAGACGGAGAGUGGUGUUUUGCUGCUAGUGUGUGAACAGUCAAAAAAGUUCUGCUUUAUUGUCAGAAAGGGCUGUUCUGUUGACUGAGUGUGCUGUCGACGGUCCACUCUGAUGUUUGAUGCUGGGGAUGGUCGGAAUAUUGGCAGGGUGUAUUUGGAUCUUGGUGGCUUUGCCUGUCAUUCAACAUCCGUAACUUAAGUGGGUCGGAGAGGAGCGUCUGGAAGGGGCAAUGACCCUCGAACGCAGAAAAUGGGAGAAGAGAAUUCUGAGAAGGAAGAAAAGAAUAGUGAUGUCCAGGGUCUGCAGCUCAAAAAAUCAGUGACACGACCAACACAACAUCCAACUUCAUCCGUCACUACAGAACCCAUAAAGAAAGGUUUCAGGAAAUAAUUGAGAGGACAGGGAUAAAUCACCUUUUCAUGGCUGAAUUGGAGCUUCAGUGAACUUGCGGCACCGGGUUAGGAGCAACGACAAUCAAGCAGGGGUGACUGGAGAACCGGGGUAGAAGUACUGUCGGAGAUGAGGCUGAUUGCUGGCAGGUGUGGCAGGCAGGAGGUGGCUGACAAGGUGCAGGUGCUGGCUGGGCUCAGGAGCAGAGGGAGAGCACACGCAGGGGAGGAGACACGGGGAGGCAGGCAGAGUACAGGAAAACACAACACCAGGGGUAAACAGAAUCACAAGCAAAAAAGGAGGAAUACACAGGACACUCACCAUCAGCCGGGCUGUCACCACAACAGUGAGGGCUUAAAUACUAGUGAUGUGCGAUACCACUUAAUUCCUAUACAAUCCAAUACCAAGUAAUACCCAGGCUGAUAUUGCCAAUACCGAUACCACUACUUUUUACAUAUUUUAUUUCUAGUUUACUGUGAC